UACGGAGGGUGCAAGCGUUAUCCGGAUUCACUGGGUUUAAAAGGGUGCGUAGGCGGAUAUGUAAGUCCGUGGUGAAAUCUCUGGGCUUAACCCGGAAACUGCCAUGGAUACUAUGUGUCUUGAAUGUUGUUGAGGUGAGCGGAAUAUGUCAUGUAGCGGUGAAAUGCUUAGAUAUGACAUAGAACACCAAUUGCGAAGGCAGCUCACUAAGCAAAUAUUGACGCUGAGGCACGAAAGCGUGGGGAUCAAACAGG
rnacentral:rRNA from 1 species